ACAAAAUGGUUUAUUGACUAGUGUUUAUUUUGGUAAUUGUAGCGGAAAGGAAGCACCAAUAACUGGAGAAUGAAGAUAUAUCGUCCAAUAAUGGAUCUAAUGUGCUUCAAAUUAGACCUUCAAAUAAUAUCCAAAAUGAACUCAACCAGAAAAAUACAAAUACCUACAAAAGGCUAUAUUUUUUUACCCUACUAAAAUCGGAUCUUUCUAGUGGAGUUAUGCCAUUAAAUAAUCGUCAGAGAUCCCAUUCAGCACUUUCUGCAGCUUCGAAUGUUGGACCAUUUGUACAUGAUUUCGUCUCUUCUAUUCCUGCGGAUGGAUGGAAUCCAAAUGAUUUAACAGGUAUGGUUAAUUGUUUGUUUGAUAUCCUAUUUGUUCAAUGAACUUAUUUGCUUGCUUUAUGUUUAGUAUUUUUUUGUGAGGUUAUACUCAAGAAAAAUUACCCGAGGUUGAAAGUCAUUCUGAGGUGCUGUUAAAAUAGAGUCUUACAGUGAAAGCACCAAAUUCUGCAGUAUGUUGUGUGGCAUGCGAUAUUUUCCUUUCUCAUGCUAGAGUUGUUGUUGAUAAUGCCUUAGUUGCAGAAACACAAAAAAUAGGUAAAAAAAAAAAAGAUCCUAGAAAAUAAAUUAGUUAUGGCUGCACUUUUAAAAGCAUUUUUUGUUAAAAUUUCAUGUAUAAAUGCAUGUUACUAUCAAUGAAGUUGAUGACAGUAGUCCCAAUUAUGCUUCAUCUUUAUUGCUUUGUUUUCUUCCUUUGAAAAGCAAAAGUUGUUAAUAUAAGAUUAUUGAAAAUGCAUACCUGUUUCAUUUUACCAACUAUAUUGUAUUCUUUUAUUUUCCAAUUACAUGAUUUUCUGAAUAUGUAGAUAGUGGGCCUAUUAUAACCUGCUACAGCAACUUAUAAUUGCUUCUCAUUGAGUUCUGAAAGUCUUGAGAAUCUUUGUCCCACAUUGGGAACAUAUUAAAUGAAAUAGCAAAAGAUAAGUGGUUGGUUGCAACAUUAAAGUGGCCAAGUUAUUUUGAAGGUAAAACAACUUAGUCACUUAUAUAAAGCCUUUAUAAAAAUGAAAAAAAUGAACUAGUGUCUAAUGUGCUCAACACUUUUAUAUCGUAGCCUGGUUGAGGUUGUGGUUUCAACUGCCUAUAAGGCUGUAUAAUUGGGUCCAUUUUGGGUUAUUACCAACUAAUUGUCACGUGACAACAAUGUAAUUGCACUUGAGAUGAGAGUGCUGCGAAUCUUUGUCCCACUUUGAGAAAAUAUAAAAUGAAAUGGCAAAUAAUUGGGUCCAGUUUGGGUUAUUACCAACUAAUUAUCAAGUGAUAACAAUGUAAUUGCACUUGAGAUGGGAGUGUUGGGAAUCUUUGUCCCACAUUGAGAAAAUAUAAAAUGAAAUGGCAAAAUAUUUGUGGUUGGAUUGGUUAAUCAUUUUGAUAUAUAAAGAAACUUAAUUAUUUAUAUAAGCCCAUAUUAAAAAUGAAUUGAUGUCUAAUAUGCCCAACAGUAGUGGAUUGAGUUCUCAAGAAUUGAUUAAAUUUUCAUGUGGAGUACUUCUGUAUUGUCUGGUAUAAAUUUGGUGCCAAUUCCCCUAGAUCGGUUUCUUUUGGACCUUAGAUGAUUGGGUGGAAACUCUCAACUGCACAUUUUACAGCAAUGGAGUUGCAAAACAUGUAGUCUUCUCCUAAAAUAUAGCUCCUUCCUGGACAUGGAGGGAACAGUAAUACACCUCUGCAAUGAUAAGAAUCACUAAUUUGAGGUGGAGUGCCAAUGAAAAUCUUUUGCUUCUUUGAUGACAAGGUUUUAUUUGGGAUUGGUUUCAACAGUAUUAAUUUGUAGAACUGUUUCACAUUGGGUUUAUAUAAAUGAAUUUUCUCAGCCUUAUGCAUUUUUAUGUUUUCUCUCCAACACAGAGAAGGGAUGUAAGUGAAUGGUAGUCAAGGAUGUAUGGUGAUCAUCAUGCAGAUGAAUGAUGCUGCAGGUGACAGAUGUGGUCAGAGGUUGGUAUGCAUAUUUAUCUCCAUUUGAGAUCAUUUGAAUUGGAUAUUCCAGUUGAAGGUGAAAAGGGAUAUCGGUGAACUUCAGUCUAGAAAUGGUAAGUAAGCUGUUGUGUAUGUGUUGUAAUCAUGACAGUGCUGGAUUUGUUGGCUGUUGAUACUUGAUACUUGUUCAGUGUGCUGAGAUGAAACCAUCCCAUAUCUCAUGUUACAGAAAAGAGAUGAUUGAUUUUGUUAAAGUUGCAAUUUACUGAAGCUAGGAAUAUAUGAGCAAUUAUCACACUCACUAUGUGAAAUUCGUGGCAAUAUGCUUCGGUACUCAGAUGUUAUAGUAGCCAUGAGACAUGCUACACAGUACACACACACUAGCUAUGUGAGGGUUUGACAAUUUUAUUGUGCCGUUGUUGAGAAUUACCUUAAACAUGUUAGGGGAUAUUAAGAAUUCAUUUUAAGUUAAGUUUGAUAUAUUUUACUCAUAAGAACUCCAAAACAAUUAAACAACUUUUUUCAACAGCAUUCUAAUUGGUGUUUUUUCUCUAGUAAUUUUUUUGACCACUCAACAUAGUUCCAAAUGGAGUCUAAGUAUGAUACCAUGCGAAUACUAAACAUAGAUUUUUUUAUAUAAUUUACUUGAACAGAUGAUUCAUUUUUAGAUAAAAAAAAUUGGGGCAAUGAAUCGUACAAUACAAGAAACUGCUAUUUUAUUUAAAUGGUUCUUUCGUUUGACAAACCUGUAAAAUGUGCAAUUCCCAGUGCUAUCACCUACACGUAAAUCUACUCACUAAAAGCUAUGGACCGGCAUAUAGUUCAUGGCUGAAAUUAUUUUUCUAUAAGGAUUUACAUGAUUAUAUGAAGAUAUAUACUUUUUUUUGUUCUUGAAAAUUUUCUCUAAUACAUGGCAGUGAUUUGAUUUUGUGUGGAUCUUGUCCCUUGACUGCCAUUAUCUUGGCUGUUAUGCAAAAAAAAUUGUUGGCAUCUGAACACAUGGCUUUCAUGAUGCACUUGGGCACAUCAAAG
rnacentral:lncRNA from 1 species